AAGACUGGAAAGCAGCAGCAGCGCUGACAGUAGUGCGUAGUACAGCUUUAAAUGGAGCAGGGAGCAUACAGAGGAGUUGAUAAAACUCCGUGGGCAAAAUGACCACCUCUUUACCGGGGCCAAGAACACUGCCGCAGUCAGAUGGAGAACAAUCCUGCAAAAAAAUG